AACGAACGCUGGCGGCAUGCCUAACACAUGCAAGUCGAACGAACCCUUCGGGGUGAGUGGCGCACGGGUGCGUAACACGUGGGAACCUGCCCUUAGGUUCGGAAUAACAGUUAGAAAUGACUGCUAAUACCGGAUAAUGUCUUCGGACCAAAGAUUUAUCGCCUUUGGAUGGGCCCGCGUAGGAUUAGCUAGUUGGUGAGGUAAAGGCUCACCAAGGCGAAGAUCCUUAGCUGGUCUUAGAGGAUGAUCAGCCACACUGGGACUGAGACACGGCCCAGACUCCUACGGGAGGCAGCAGUGGGGAAUAUUGGACAAUGGGCGAAAGCCUGAUCCAGCAAUGCCGCGUGAGUGAUGAAGGCCUUAGGGUUGUAAAGCUCUUUUACCUGGGAUGAUAAUGACAGUACCAGGAGAAUAAGCCCCGGCUAACUCCGUGACAGCCGCCGCGGUAAAAC
rnacentral:rRNA from 1 species